ensembl:lncRNA
UUUUUUUUUUCCUUUUUCAGGAGAAAAAAAAAAAGUGCAUAUUCAGAAGAGAAUUCUAAUGUAAGAAUUCUUCUGCUAGUAGUAAGACUUCAGCAACUUAAAGCUAUGUUGCACUGUGGAAAAAGUGAGAAUAUUGGCUCAUCUAUUAAGACAUCUCAGAUCUCAGCCCUUCUGAAUGAACAUUGAUCAAUGCUGUUUCUUAAUUUGAUGUAGUCUUUUUUUUUUCCCAUUAUUUUUUACAUACGUGAAAUUGAAAAAGAAAAAUUGAGCAGGAAUGAUCACAACCGAUUUACUGCCCUGGAAGAAGAAGGUGCCCUGUAUUACUUUGAUUUGUGAAAUCGUGCGUUUUAUAAAAAGCCACUUUUCACAUGUAAGCAAGAUCUUUCAAUAUUUCAGAAGACAAUGGCACAACCUCUGGAGAAUAAAGGCAUUGAAAGAAGUAGCUAAGAGGAAGACAAACACAGCACAGUUUGUGGGAAUUAGCACCCUUUACAAAGCCUAGAUGAGGGCAGAAACACACUGAAUCACAUUCUUCCAACGCGAUAAUUUUUACUCUUGUUCACACAACUGAAUAGCCAAUAAGCACGAAUCUCCUCCCGAACGCUUGCAGCCCGUUACGCAACGUAAAUUGGGCACAUAGGUAAUGAUUUCACGAUAUGAAGGAAGAGAAUGAUGUGCCUUGCUUGCUUGCUAGCCAAAAUGCAUUUCUGAGGCAGGAAAUCAAAAACACAUCCCAAGCCCUGCAAGUAGACUGCCCGCACUCGCCCUGCUGCCAUUAGAGGCUGUCAGGAGGCUGUCAGCUCCAGGAGCCACCGCCACCCAAGGCAAGGCUGCCCCGGUGCCUCCUCCCUGGGAGCGUGCUUUCUGAUCACCCUUCGCUAACAGACAGUGAGGAAAUAUUGCACUGCUGUUGCAGCUGCUUGGAGAACUCCUCAAAUACAGUGCAAACACCGCACUGAAACAAAGCAACGGGAGAAUGCUGCAGCAGAGACCUCAGCUGAGAGGCAAGAUGCAAGAUUUAUUAUGACACAGUGCAGAGGAUAUCUGAAAGGGAAGUCUAACCAAAGCAUUAAUGUGUCUUUUCCUCUUUCCUUCCCUCUUCCCCCUACCCCCCAUGUUAUUUUCCUUUGCAAUUCCUAUGUAUACAUACAAAAUUGUUUCUUUUCUCAAGUGAAACGGCAUCUAAAAUGAUGAAGAAUUUUAGGAGGUGACUGUUUCCUAAGAUCUUUUCUACUUGUUUUGUUCUGUGUUCCAGUGUUCUCUACCCACAGGACUCUGAAACGCUGAGAUUUCAGCAGUUCAUAUGUCUGCCUGCCCACCUCUUUUAUUAAAGGGUUGUGUUUCUCUUCUGUCAACACCUAUUCUUUAGCAUACAUCUCUGCUAUCAUUCAGGAAAAUGUUGGCAUAACAUUUUUUUUUUCUUUUUCUUUUUUUCCUUUUAAAUUCAUUUCUGUAGCCGGGCUUUUCCUUUUAAGUCUCCUUCAUUUCUGUCAUCGGUUUCAACCCCGAAGUUCUCACUUUUGCAAGACAAUGCGCUAUUUUCACACGUGUAAAACACUGAGCAAAGUGGAAUCGCAGAUGUCACAUUUACAUGUUUAUGUUUUUUGUUUCUUUUUUUUUCUCUGCCAGUCGCUCACUUCAACUCUCCAAGCCCAAGGUACUGCAGUGGAGCUGAGAUUCCCUGCGUUCCUGCAUGCAGACCUCCAGCUUUCUGAAACGAGGCUCUUUCUGCCCUCUGUGAUGCUUGGAUAAGGCUCUGUUCUCUAAGCUCUUGAAUAAGCUGAGAUACUGCAGUAUUUGCCAGAGGAGAAGGCCACAGCACAGACACAGAGAAGAGGGAGAGAUUGUGGAUGUUUUCAUGCCUUUGUGUCCUCUUGGAGAGGUGAAGUCAAGGGGUGGCUGCUUGAAGGCUGCCCAGCAAAACAGCCAAGAGAGAGUUUGUUGAGGAUUUGGCAACACAGAUAUGCACAACUACAAUCGAAAUACAUGAUCUGAGGAAAUACACUCUUUCUUGUUGAAAACAGCAUCUUGCUGUUUCUAUCUUUGGAGUUAAUAUUUAAAGACUAGAGCUCUAAUACACUCCAAGACACUCUCUUAUUUCCUUUCAUGGGGUCACUUUACUGUAUUUUCUUGUUUAAAUAAGUUGUAAAAGAUGCAUCUGGCAGAUCCACCUUGUAAACUGAUUUUCUAACCUGGUCAUAUCAUUAUUCAGUACUAGCACUAUGUUCCACCUUGAGGUCCCAUAGAAACACCUCCAUGCCCAGCGUUCUGCUUGGGUACCAUUGCUCAGAGACCAUGAAAGCAUGAAACUGGAUACUAUCCCUGCAGGUUGGUGCAGUUAUGAUGUGGCUAAAUGAAAACAAAAUAGCUUUUGAUGCUUAUUGUUCUUUUCUCUUUUUUUUUUUUUUUUUUUGCCAUUUUUAUUCUUCACUGACUGUAAGCUCAGUAAGGAUGCAUUUCUCAAAAGGAGCUGAAGUUUCCCUUCAACAUAUUAGAAAUUCUGCAUUUCAGUGACUCCCACCAACGUUUUUAUCCCCCCUCACAAAAGCAGUCCUAUCCAAGGAUCUUAAAAAAAAAAAAAAGAAAGAAAGGUUGGUCUUUAAGUAAUACAUAUGAUAUUAGUUUUUCCGUUUUAAAAUAAUCACAUUAUUGCAGACAUUUUAAUAGCUGUAGAGGUUGCUAUGUAUUAACAUGAUUCAUGGUCCUUGACAGCAGUGUCUCUGAAAAUCCCACAGGAAUGCAAAAUACAAAACUCCACACACGUUCAAAUUUUACUGCCUGCAGCUAAAAGAGGGGAAAAAAAAACUUAAAACUGUUGAAACCCUUCAACUUUAAAAGCAUUAAUAGAUGGUCCCAGGGGAUUAAAUCUAAAUCUUAAUGUGUAAAAAUCAAGUUAAUAACCACAGAGAUUAAUAUGGUUGCAUUUGAUUAUUGUGAUAAUGCAAACAAUUAGUACUGCUAAAGUGAGAUAUAUUAGCCUCCUACUUGCCCCACACACAUCUGCAAAGCAUUGGAAAUAAAUGGAAAUAAAACAUUUUUCUCUGAAAGAUUUUUCUUCUCUCCUUUUGCCACUGUCUUAUUUUCUCUGUAGCUGACUCAUUUUUUAAAUUAUAAUUGCUAACAUUUUAUUAUUAAGCCCCUCUGUUAUACGACUCUUAUAAAAUUGGUUGCCAUAACCAUCCAUUCCAUAUUGUCAGCAAAGUAUGCAUUCCUCACCAAUACCAGUAAAUAAAUAAAUCUUCCAAUUAAACGAUGUGACUUUUCUUUUAAGUACAAAAAUGCCAGACAAAUAUUUUAACCCAAGAAAAAUACAAACUUCUUCUUAGUCCAUCGUUUAUCGUUUUAAUCCAGAAUGCCAUGGGAACAGAACUGGGCAUCUAAUCCAAUCUAUAUUAUAGGCAGAGCUGGAAGUGCCACCUAUACUUAAUGCCUGACACUUCCCAUUACAAAAUCCUCUUUUCAGUUGCAUAUAACUGUGCCAUACUUUAAGUGUUCAACUAAAACCCCCCAUGCCUGAUAUCUG